GAACUGCUGACGAGUCCCAAACAGGACGAAACAACUGUUCAGUGC
rnacentral:hammerhead_ribozyme from 1 species